rnacentral:rRNA from 1 species
UACAGAGGGUGCUAGCGUUGUUCGGAAUCAUUGGGCGUAAAGGGCGUGUAGGCGGUUUGUUAAGUCAUGUGUGAAAUCCCUCGGCUCAACCGGGGAACGACGCAUGAAACUGGCAAGCUAGAGUACCAAAGAGGGGGGUGGAAUUCCCGGUGUAGCGGUGAAAUGCGUAGAUAUCGGGAGGAAUACCAGUGGCGAAGGCGGCCUUCUGGACGGAUACUGACGCUGAGGCGCGAAAGCCAGGGGAGCAAACGGG